AGUACCGUGAGGGAAAGGUGAAAAGAACGGCGGUGAGCCGAGUGAAAUAGAACCUGAAACCAUUUGCUUACAAUCAUUCAGAGCACUAUGUAGCAAUACAGUGUGAUGGACUGCCUUUUGCAUAAUGAGCCUGCGAGUUGUGGUGUCUGGCAAGGUUAAGCUAACGCGAAGCCGUAGCGAAAGCGAGUCUGAAUAGGGCGCUAAGUCAGAUGCUGCAGACCCGAAACGAAGUGAUCUAUCCAUGAGCAGGUUGAAGCUAGUGUAAGAACUAGUGGAGGACCGAACCCGCUAGCGUUGAAAAGCUAUGGGAUGACUUGUGGAUAGGGGUGAAAGGCCAAUCAAACUUCGUGAUAGCUGGUUCUCUCCGAAAUAUAUUUAGGUAUAGCGUUGUGUCGUAACUAAAGGGGGUAGAGCACUGAAUGGGCUAGGGCAUACACCAAUGUACCAAACCCUAUCAAACUCCGAAUACCUUUAGUGUAAUCACAGCAGUCAGGCGGCGAGUGAUAAAAUCCGUCGUCAAGAGGGAAACAACCCAGACUAACAGCUAAGGUCCCCAAAUCUUACUUAAGUGGAAAACGAUGUGAAGUUACUUAAACAACCAGGAGGUUGGCUUAGAAGCAGCCAUCCUUUAAAGAAAGCGUAAUAGCUCACUGGUCUAGUGAUUUUGCGCGGAAAAUAUAACGGGGCUAAAGUAAGUACCGAAGCUUUAGACUUGCACA
rnacentral:rRNA from 1 species